AACGCUAGCUACAGGCUUAACACAUGCAAGUCGAGGGGUAGCAGGGUAGCAAUACCGCUGACGACCGGCGCACGGGUGAGUAACACGUAUCCAACCUUCCCAUUACUCUGGGAUAGCCUUUCGAAAGAAAGAUUAAUACCGGAUGGCACUUUUUUGAGGCAUCUCAAAACAGUUAAAGAUUUAUUGGUAAUGGAUGGGGAUGCGUUCCAUUAGAUUGUUGGUGAGGUAACGGCUCACCAAGUCUUCGAUGGAUAGGGGUUCUGAGAGGAAGGUCCCCCACAUUGGUACUGAGACACGGACCAAACUCCUACGGGAGGCAGCAGUGAGGAAUAUUGGUCAAUGGGCGAGAGCCUGAACCAGCCAAGUAGCGUGAAGGAUGAAGGUCCUAUGGAUUGUAAACUUCUUUUAUAGUAGAAUAAAGUGAGCCACGUGUGGUUUUUUGUAUGUAUACUAUGUAUAAGGAUCGGCUAACUCCGUGCCAGCAGCCGCGGUAAUACGGAGGAUCCGAGCGUUAUCCAGAUUUAUUGGGUUUAAAGGGUGCGUAGGCGGAAUAAUAAGUCAGUUGUGAAAGUUUGCGGCUCAACCGUAAAAUUGCAGUUGAUACUGUUAUUCUUGAGUGUACAUAAGGUAGGCGGAAUUCGUGGUGUAGCGGUGAAAUGCUUAGAUAUCACGAAGAACUCCGAUUG
rnacentral:rRNA from 1 species